rnacentral:rRNA from 1 species
GAGAGCCACUAUUAUGAAGAGCUCUCUAGAAAAGAGGUUGCUAACUCUGUGCCAGCAGCAGCGGUAAUACAGAGACCUCGAGCGUUAUCCGGAUUUAUUGGGCGUAAAGCGUUCCGAUCGGUGGUCGUAUAUGUCUUGUGUGAAAGACCGAAGCUUAACUUCGUGUUUGCACCAGAAACUGUACGACUUGAAGAAUAAAGGGGUGGCUAGAACUCUACAAGUACCGGUGAAAUGGGUUGAUAUGUAGGGGAAUACCUAAAGCGAAGGCAGGCCACUGGGUAUUACUUGACACUGCUAGGACGAAAGCGUGGGGAGAGAAUGGGAUUAGAUACCCCAGUAUUCCACGCCCUAAACGAUGAGUGUUUACUUUUAGAGUCUGUCAAAUGACUUUGGAGGUACAAGCUAACGCUAUAAACACUCCGCCUGUAGAGUACGGCCGCAAGGCUAAAACAUAAAGGAAUUGACGGGAACCCGCGCAAGUAGUGGAUCAUGCGGCUUAAUUCGUAAGUAAGCGUGGAACCUCACCUAGGUUUGACAUGCUCUUGCAAGACUUUGGAAACUUAGUCCCUCUCUUCGGAGACUUUUGCACAGAUGAUGCACGGUCGUCGUCAGCUCGUGUCGUGAGAUGUUCGGUUAAGUCCGGUAACGAGCGCAACCCCAGUCCUUAGUUAUUUAAUGUCUAAGGAGACCGCCGAAGUUUAAUUCGGAGGAAGGAUGGGAUGACGUCAGAUCUGCGUGUCUCUUACAUCUAGGGCUGCACGCAUGAUACAAUGGGAAUGGUACAACGGGUUAUGCCAAAGAGCGAUCUGGAGCGAAUCCCCCAAAACCACCCUCAGUACGGAUUGGAGUCUGAAACUCGACUCCAUGAAGCUGGAAUUACUAGUAAUCGCUGAUCAGCCACGCAGCGGUGAAUACGUUCUCGGGUUUUGUACACACUGCCCGUCACGCCCUGGGAAUUGAAUGCGCCCCAAACC